rnacentral:rRNA from 1 species
GUGAGGAAUAUUGGUCAAUGGACGAGAGUCUGAACCAGCCAAGUCGCGUGAAGGAAGACGGUUCUAUGAAUUGUAAACUUCUUUUGUGCAGGAAUAAAGUGGGUUACGUGUAACCUUUUGUAUGUACUGUACGAAUAAGGAUCGGCUAACUCCGUGCCAGCAGCCGCGGUAAUACGGAGGAUCCGAGCGUUAUCCGGAUUUAUUGGGUUUAAAGGGUGCGUAGGUGGAUUGAUAAGUCAGCGGUGAAAGUUUGCAGCUUAACUGUAAAAUUGCCGUUGAAACUGUCGGUCUUGAGUGCAAAUGAGGUAGGCGGAAUGUGUUGUGUAGCGGUGAAAUGCUUAGAUAUAACACAGAACUCCGAUUGCGAAGGCAGCUUACUGGGAUGCAACUGACACUGAUGCACGAAAGCGUGGGUAUCAAACAGGAUUAGAUACCCCUGUAGUCC